rnacentral:hammerhead_ribozyme from 1 species
AUCCAACCGACGAAUCCCAAAUAGGACUAAACGCACGUUCCAGAU